AUACGAAGGUCCCAAGCGUUAUUCGGAAUCACUGGGCGUAAAGAGUACGUAGGCGGUUUGGUAAGUCAGGUGUGAAAUCCCGGAGCUCAACUCCGGAACUGCAUCCGAUACUGCCAGACUUGAGUAAUGGAGAGGCAGGUGGAAUUCUCGGUGUAGCAGUGAAAUGCGUGGAUAUCGAGAGGAAGACCAAUGGCGAAGGCAGCCUGCUGGACAUUUACUGACGCUGAGGUACGAAGGCUAGGGGAGCGAAAGGGAUUAGAUACCCCGGUAGUCC
rnacentral:rRNA from 1 species